rnacentral:rRNA from 1 species
CCUACGGGUGGCAGCAGUGGGGAAUAUUGGGCAAUGGGCGCAAGCCUGACCCAGCAACGCCGCGUGAAGGAAGAAGGCUUUCGGGUUGUAAACUUCUUUUCUCAGGGACGAAGCAAGUGACGGUACCUUAGGAAUAAGCCACGGCUAACUACGUGCCAGCAGCCGCGGUAAUACGUAGGUGGCAAGCGUUAUCCGGAUUUACUGGGUGUAAAGGGCGUGUAGGCGGGGACGGAAGUCAGAUGUGAAAACCACGGGCUCAACCUGGGGCCUGCAUUUGAAACUGUGUUUCUAGAGUACUGGAGAGGCAGACGGAAUGCCUGGUGUAGCGGUGAAAUGCGUAGAGAUUAGGAGGAACACCAGUGGCGAAGGCGGUCUGCUGGACAGCAACUGACGCUGAGGCGCGAAAGCGUGGGGAGCAAACAGGAUUAGAUACCCGGGUAGUC